CAGUCGCCACGGUAAUACGUAGGGUGCGAGCGUUAAUCGGAAUUACUGGGCGUAAAGCGUGCGCAGGCGGUUCGUUAAGACAGAUGUGAAAUCCCCGGGCUUAACCUGGGAGCUGCAUUUGUGACUGGCGAGCUAGAGUAUGGCAGAGGGGGGUAGAAUUCCACGUGUAGCAGUGAAAUGCGUAGAGAUGUGGAGGAAUACCGAUGGCGAAGGCAGCCCCCUGGGCCAAUACUGACGCUCAUGCACGAAAGCGUGGGGAGCAAACAGGAUUAGAUACCCGCGUAGUCCCUGUCUCUUAUAC
rnacentral:rRNA from 1 species